rnacentral:rRNA from 1 species
AUGAAGCAACCACUAGUGCAACCCCUAGAAGCUAGGCGCUACACUGCGCCUAGCUACGACCCCACGCUGACACGUAUAGGGCCCAGAGACAGUUGUACCGCCACCUGCGCCGCUCCAAUCUCCUCCUGCCUCGCUCGCCACAUCGAUCCACUCCACCUCCUCUCUCUUCGACCUCCAGCACAGUCCGGACACCCUUUAUACACGCGCCUCGCUCAUCCCCCCGCCAGCAGCCACAACUCGCUCAACGGUCGGUCGUUUCAUGGUUGCCAGCACCGUUCAUGGGACAUGCCUCCAUCGCUCUCCUCCCUCCGCUCCCUCUUCACGAGAACGUUGGGCCUGGGCUCGGGCGCCGCGGAGCACAGUGGGGAUGAGGAGUCACAGGCCGGCGGCGGGCCCGUGCCAUUGGGUGGUAGCCGGCCGGUGGCGGGGCCUCCGGGGGAGUGCUACACAUGCACACAGCCCGGGGUGCCGGCGUUCCACUCCACGACAUGCGACCAGGCGCAGCAGCUGCGGGCGCAGCCGCUCCCGGGGGCCGCCGCGGUCACCGCCGCGCGGUGGCUGUUCGGGCCGGUGAUGGACCCGCGGAGCAAGCGCGUGCAGCGCUGGAACCGCUGGAUCCUGCUGGGCCGCGCGGCGGCGCUGGCCGUGGACCCGCUCUUCUUCUACGCGCUCUCCAUCGGCCGCGCGGGGUGCCCCUGCAUGUACAUGGACGCGGGCCUCGCCACCGCCGUCACCGCGCUGCGCACCUGCGCCGACGUGGCCCACCUCGCCCACGUCCUCGUCCAGUUCCGCCUCACCUACGUCUCCCGCGAGUCGCUCGUCGUCGGCUGCGGCAAGCUGGUCUGGGACCUGCGCGCCAUCGCCGCGCACUACUCCCGCUCCCUCUAG